rnacentral:misc_RNA from 1 species
UAUUUAAAAAAAAAAAAAAAAAAAAUUU